AUUGAACGCUGGCGGCCGGCCUAACACAUGCAAGUCGAACGAGUGGCGUAUGGGUGAGUAAUGUCUGGGAAACUGCCCGACGGAGGGGGAUAACUACUGGAAACGGUAGCUAAUACCGCAUACCAUCGGAUGUGCCCAGGUGGGAUUAGCUAGUAGGUGGGGUAACGGCUCACCUAGGCGACGAUCCCUAGCUGGUCUGAGAGGAUGACCAGCCACACUGGAACUGAGACACGGGCCAGACGCCUACGUGAGGCAGCAGUGGGGAAUAUUGCACAAUGGGCGAAAUCCUGAUGCAGCCAUGCCGCGUGUAUGAAGAAGGCCUUCGGGUUGUAAAGUACUUUCAGCGAGGAGGCGUUACUCGCAGAAGAAGCACCGGCUAACUCCGUGCCAGCAGCCGCGGUAAUUC
rnacentral:rRNA from 1 species